rnacentral:ribozyme from 1 species
CCGAGUCGACGGGGUUUUCUUUGGAUGUGGCUAUCGCUCCAACAAGCGUUGCUGUGGCGGUUGUUUUCUUUUGUUGCUGUCCUUCGAC